rnacentral:rRNA from 1 species
GAUCCUGGCUCAGGAUGAACGCUGGCGGCGUGCUUAACACAUGCAAGUCGAACGAAGCACUUUCGAUUGAUUCUUCGGAUGAAAGAGAUUGUGACUGAGUGGCGGACGGGUGAGUAACGCGUGAGAAACCUGCCUCUCAGUGGGGGACAACAGUUGGAAACGACUGCUAAUACCGCAUAACACUUUAGUACCGCAUGGUACAGAAGUCAAAGCUUUAUGUGCUGAAAGAUGGCUUCGCGUCUGAUUAGCUAGAUGGCGGGGUAACGGCCCACCAUGGCAACGAUCAGUAGCCGGACUGAGAGGUUGAACGGCCACAUUGGGACUGAGAUACGGCCCAGACUCCUACGGGAGGCAGCAGUGGGGAAUAUUGGGCAAUGGGGGAAACCCUGACGCAGCAACACCGCGUGAAUGUUAAGCCCUUCGGGGUGUAAAGUUCUGUCAGUAGGGAAGAACAAAUGACUGUACCUACAAAGGAAGCACCGGCUAACUCCGUG